CAAGUGUAAAUCACAGUGACAGCGCAGAUCUCACUGUUUCAUUAUCCGAGUGUUUCUUCUCUCGGAGCUCUUGUUCUGAUCUUAUCAUUCAUCAGGGUGAUAUUACAGGAUUUUUAUUCACACAGAGCUGAUGUGGAUGUUUCUGCUCUUCAUCAAAUCACUUUUUACAGUCAUCAGACGUGUGUCUGGAUGCAGACGGACCUGAAGAGCUUCGUUCUGGUGAAUUAGAGACAGACACAGAUGAGGUCACUUCAGUUCAUUCAGCUUGUUUUGAGCUCUUCAGCUCCUUCAUCUUCAUCUUUAUCAGUCAUCCAGCAGUCAAUAAUGUUACAUCAUGUCUCUCUCUGCUGGACACAUUUGUGUAGCACAAAAUUUCUGACAUCAUUUACUCAUCCUCAUGUUGUUCCAAACCUGUAUGAGUUUCUUUCUUCCCAUAAACACAAAAGAAGAUAUUCUGAAGAAUGCAGGUAACCAAACAGCCAUUGAUUUCCAUAGACAAAAAUACCAUGGAAGUCAAUGGCUGACGGCAACUGUUUGGUUACAACAUUCUUCUGAAUAUUUCUUUUGUGUUCAGGUGUGGAACCUGUGUGUAAAUCAUGACAGAUUUUUUUUUUUGGCUGACUAACCCUUUAACAUUUAUUAAGCCCUGUAAGUUUGUUUUAAGUGAAUGACAGCAGCAGUUUACUGAAAUACGGCCUGAUGUGAGUGUUAAGCUCUCUAGAUCAUCUGCAGUAUUUUAAAGCAUCUCUGCUUUUCUCUCAUGAUGUUUGAUCUGAAAGACUCAGAAAACAUUUCACCAGUAUUUUGCACCUUGUUUGCUGUUCUCCUCAUUUGACUUGUUUCAGAACCUGAAGAAACUUAAGACAUUUUUGACUGUUCACUGUAAUAUCGCUGCAAUUGUACUUCUUUUAUUUUUAUAUUUGUUUAUAACUUUUUAUAUAAAAAGAAGAAACCUCAGUGAGAUGUGCAUUACAUCUAAUAGUAAACAUCUGUCUGCCCUU